UUCAGAAAGCUUAUGUUACAUGGAUAUUCGGUGGUUGUCAAAUGAAUAUACACAAAAACAAAGCUAGAGUGGCAUCCUUACUUGUGGUCCUCAGAUCAUACUUUGGGUCAUGAAUCUACUGGGAUCUUCUGUCAACUGGAUCAAGUUAGGCACACAAAUUAUGAAUAUGUGGUGACCCGUGCUUCUGUAAAUGAUGGUCGUAAGCAAAGGAUUAUGGUUUGACGAAGAGAAGGUCUGCCGUAUUCUGUCAUUCAAUUCAAUUUCUGUGCUUCUCUUCAUGCCAAUUAUGCUGCACAUCUACAUUUCAUUCUGCUGCAAUUAGAAAAUGAUCAUAUCCAGGCCUGUGGCAAACUGCCAAGCAUGACAAAUCACGACUAUGAUUUGGAGGAGAGGCCAAGAUUUAUCAAGAAGGAAAGCCAGCACUUAAUGAUGAUGAGGGAGAUAAGGGUUUGCUCAAGGCACAAAACGCAUGGUUGCAGCUCACUGGAUGACUUUGUGCGGCGGAUGAAUAUUGCUGUUGCUAAUCUGAUCGAAAUUGUUCUCCAAAAUUUCUAAUAAGCCUCGGCAUUUGGACAUGAGAUUUAAUUAUCGACAUACCUCAACUUAUUCCCCUGAGGCUACUGCGGCUUCUAAAUCCAUAACUCCUUUGGGUAACGGUAUUGUUGGAAGAAAAUGUAAGUCAAGAUGAUGAAAAUGGUUAUGACGGCUACAGACAAUGAUGUUAAAGAUGUUGAAAUUAAAACAGCCAACAAUAUAAGCUAGAUUUUUCCAUAAGCCAAGAGAUAGAGGCGAAACCAACUACUCAAAGCAAACAAUGCUGUUCCACCAAAGUGAGAGGCAGUAAAUGUAGACGGGCGACCUAGAACAUGAAUGACAUGUGGGAUUGAUAUACCACUGAACUCGAAUUCUUGGAGUCACUAAAUUGGGAAUGGAUCUGAUUAGCUAUGAGUACAUUUUUGCAAGACUCACCAAAAAUGGCUCAUUCGGGGUGUAUUUUUUGACCGCAUCCUUGAACAGGUGCCACUGGAUCCAAUGGACUAUCAAUGCGUCCCACAAUUUUUACCAUCCAAACUUGUGUGAUUACAAUAAUAUUAGGCAAUUGAUUAUUAUAUCUCUACAGCCAAAGUUGAUUCCUAUCAGCAACCGAUAUUUUUACAAGACUUGUUAUGCUGCUUCUGUAAUCGAUGCAUUGGGCCGGAAUGCUAGAAGAUGAUACUGAAAGGAACUAACUGCUGAAGUUAUCAUGCAUGUGGCGCUGUGUCAGUCAUCCUGCAAAAAUCAUGUCUCAGCAAAACAUACUCUCUGUGUCAAGAUUAUCAGACAAUGGGUUGCUGGGUGUCAUUGUAGCUGGAAGUCUCUGCAGUAUGCCAAAUCUUUGACAGACUGAAUCUCAUAUACAACGGCAACGAUGACUUGUGUUAUUUCUGCUACAUUUUUGGUGCAUAGUGGGAGAGAUUAUUAAGCUCUAUUGACACUGAACAGCAUGGAGAUAUGAAUAUCCAGUAUGACAUGUAGGCAGUAGGCCUCAAUGUUUUUGGGAUGAGUUGUAAUUCAAAAAUACCUCCCUCUUAAAUUUAUCGGUUUUUUAUUUUUUUAUUUUUUAAUUUUCAUUUCUUGAAUAACUUUAUGCUCAAAAUAUAACCUCUCGUUUAAAUUAUUGAAUCAGUACAUUA